rnacentral:rRNA from 1 species
UACGAAGGGGGCUAGCGUUGCUCGGAAUCACUGGGCGUAAAGCGCACGUAGGCGGCUUUCUAAGUCAGGGGUGAAAUCCUGGAGCUCAACUCCAGAACUGCCUUUGAUACUGGAGAGCUUGAGUCCGGGAGAGGUGAGUGGAACUCCGAGUGUAGAGGUGAAAUUCGUAGAUAUUCGGAAGAACACCAGUGGCGAAGGCGGCUCACUGGCCCGGUACUGACGCUGAGGCACGAAAGCGUGGGGAGCAAACAGGG